UACGUAGGGGGCAAGCGUUGUCCGGAAUCAUUGGGCGUAAAGAGCGUGUAGGCGGCCCGAUAAGUCCGCCGUGAAAGUCCAGGGCUCAACCCUGGAAUGCCGGUGGAAACUGUCGGGCUGGAGUCCGGAAGAGGCGAGUGGAAUUCCUGGUGUAGCGGUGAAAUGCGCAGAUAACAGGAAGAACACCCGUGGCGAAGGCGGCUCUCUGGGACGGUACUGACGCUGAGACGCGAAAGCGUGGGGAGCGAACAGG
rnacentral:rRNA from 1 species